rnacentral:tRNA from 1 species
AUAAGAUAAGGUCAAGUGGUCUGCCUUUAUCUGAAAAACAAGGGGUCGGCAGUUCGAUUCUGCCUCUGGCCACCA